rnacentral:lncRNA from 10 species
AAGUGUUGGGAUUACAGACGUGAGCCACCACGCCCAGCUAAUUUUUUGUAUUUUUAAUAGAGAUGGGGUUUCUUCAUGUUGGUCAGGCUGGUCUCAAACUCCCGACCUCAGGUGAUCUUCCCGCCUCAGCCACCAUGCCCGGUUGCUUUUUUUUUUUUUUUUUUUUUGGAAACAGUCUCGCUCUGUCACCCAGGCUGGAGUGCAAUGGCACAAUCUCAUCUCACUGCAACCUCUGCCUCCUGGGUUCAAGGGAGUCUCAUGCCUCAUCCUUCUGAGUAGCUGGGACUACAGGUGUGUGCCACCAUGUCUGGCUAAUUUUUAUUUCUGUAUUUAUUGGAAAGAGAUAGGGUUUUGCCAUGUUGGCCAAGCUGGCCUCCAACUCCUGGCCUCAGGUGAUCUGCCUGCCUUGGCCUCCCAAAGUGCUGGGAUUACAGGCGUGAGCUACCGAACCAGCCUCGAUUGCAAGAAUUAUAUGGAAAUUGUGGUCUUCUUCCCAGAUCACCUUGACUGGCUGCUGAGAGCCAAGCCCAACCAGAACAGAGUCACCUAGGUUACAGAGUAGGGAGGUCCAGGGGAAAGCCUGUGUCCUUCCUGGAGCAGCACCCAUCUGUGCCACCCGCAUGGGACUGCCUGGGGUCCAGUGCCUGGCAAGGCCCUGCUUCUAGAAGCCCUCCCUGAUGCCAGCCCUGAGCUCCCAGCCCUGUGGGAGGCAGUGGGCUCUGUGUAGAGAGCACUGAGCUAGGUUGGGCCCGGUGGCUCACGCCUGUAAUCCCAGCACUUUGGGAGGCCGAGGCAGGCAGGUCACUUGAGGUCAGGAGUUCAAGACCAGCCUGGCCAACAUGGUGAAACCCUGUCUCUACUGAAAAUACAAAAAUUAGCUGGGCGUGGUGGCGGGUGCCUAUAAUCCCAGCUACUCAGGAGGCUGAGGCAGGAGAAUCGCUUGAACCCGGGAGGUGGAAGUUGCAGUGAGCCAAGAUCACUCCACUACACUCCAGCCUGGGCAACAGAGCGAGACUCCAUCUCAAAAACAAACAAAAAAAGAUGUGCUGUUUUCCUCCCCGUGACUGUAAUUUCUUCGAGGGCAAGCCCCUGUGUCUGUGUUUGCUUUUCCUGCCUUCUCUGCCCCGUGCUUUAUGCUGAGCUGUACACAUCACGGUGCUCAAUAAAGACUUGCUGAUAACUUCCCAAAAACCCUAGCUUUGCUCAGGAGAAUGCUUUUCUUACAACUCUCAGACAAACACUGUCUCCACUGAGUGAACACCACAGGCCCAGCAAGAGAAACUUCAAGGAAGGCUGGCCCAAUGGCAGUCAGUUAUCAGAACUUAUUCACAUUUGUGUCACUAAAGUUGUACACCUCCACUGCUAACCUUAACUGGCUUAAAAAAUUUUUUAGAAAAGAGAGAAACGUCAAGGAGAUGACAGAGCAAGCUUUCUAGAACAUGCCGCUCUGUUCAACCUUCUCCUCAGCCACCACCAGAUUCACACUAUCAGUCAUCAAGCCCUAUGAAUCUGGCCUCAGUCACCUUUCCAACCUAAUCUUUGUGUUUUUUUUUUUUGUUUGUUUUUUGUUUUUUGUUUUUUUUUGAGACGGAGUUUCACUGUGUCACCCAGGUUGGAGUACAGUGGCGUGAUCUUGGCUCACUGCAAACUCCGCCUCCUGGGUUCAGGCGAUUCUCCUGCCUCAGCGUACUCUCCUAGUAGCGGGGAUCACAGGCAUGCACAACCACACCUGGCUAAUUUUGUAUUUUUAGUAGAUAUGAGGGUUUCACCAUUUUGGCCAGACUGGUCUUGAACUCCUGACCUCAAGUGAUCCACCCACCUCAGACUCCCAAAGUGCUGGGAUUACAGGCGUGAGCCACCGCACCCAGCCCCAACCUCAUCUUUUUUACUCUAGGCUCUUGCUCACGCUGGUCCCUCUAGACUACCCUUUGGAGUGCUGUUCCCUCCACAGCUCAGGUGCCACCUCUUCCAAGAAGCCUUCUCACAUGCCACCUCCUGCAAAGACAUGCAGAAAGUUACUCCCAUCUCCACAUUUCUACCCCUUAGUCUAGUGAUCCCUCCCUUUCAGAUUUGUCUAAUGGUUUUCAUUAUUCCUAGCACAGUGCCUGGCUUGUCCAAUAAAUGGAGGUCAAAUUCACUUGAAUUAUAGUCUAGGGUGAGAGACAGUGUGCAGUGGGGAGAGAUGAAAAGGACAUGAGACUUUUCCCAUAGACAGGGGCUACAGCUGGAAGGGACUCUCCCCCAGGAAGGCCGGCAGAUGGAAAACAGCUGGUGGCUGAGGGUUGCUGUGACUCACCCACCCCUGCAGGCUGGGGGACACUGCAGACAGGGUGAGUCAGGAGUCAAAGGCCUACAGGAAUUUUGGUAAGAAUAAGACAAGCUCUGGAGUAUUUCUAAAAUGCAGGAGGUUAAGGAUUCAGGGAGUGGGGUCAGGACAAAAGAGCCUAAUUAUGUUAUUCAUUUUUUUGCCUGCAUGAAAUAGUUACAUGGUACAAAAUUCAAAAGGUACAAAGCGGGCACAGUAAGACAAAGUCUUCUACCCUGUCUUGUUCCUGCCACCUAGGUCCUCUUCCAAGAAGCAGCCCAUGUUUCCAGUUGCUUAUACUUAACAUACUUCCUAUACUCUUCUUUUUUUUUGAGACAGAGUAUCGCUUUGCAACCUCCAACUCCCUGGUUCAAGCGAUGGUCUUGCCUCAGCCUCCCUAGUAGCUGAGAUUACAGGCACACGCCACCAUGCCCAGUAUUUUUAGUAGAGACGGGAUUUCACCAUGUUGGCCAGGAUGGUUUCAAUCGCUUGACCUCGUGAUCUGCCUGCCUUGGCCUCCCAAAGUGCUGGGAUUACAGGCGUGAGCCACCACACCAGGCCAUUUUUUUUUUUUAAGACGGAGUUUCGCUCUUGUUGCCCAGGCUGUAGUGUAAUGGCACAAUCUCCGCUCACUGCAACCUCCGCCUCCCGGGUUCAAGCGAUUCUCCCACUUCAGUCUCCCGAGUAGCUGGGAUUACAGACGCAUGCCACCAGGCCUGGCUAAUUUUUUUAUUUGUGUUUUUAGUAGAGGCAGGGUUUCACCAUGUUGGCCAGGUGGGUCUCAAACUCCUGACCUCAGGUGAUCCACCUGCCUCGGCCUCCCAAAGUGCUACGAUUACAGGUGUGAGACACGGCACCUGGCUAAUAAAUUUCUAUCAUCUAUAAAUUACCCAUGUCUAAGGUAUUUUGUUACCACAGCCCAAACAGACAGCAUUUCAUAUCAGCACAUACAGAACUUUCUCAUUUUUUUCUUUCACUGUGUUUAGGGUUGCCCGAUAAAAUACAAGAUGCCUACUUAAAUUUGAAUUAUUUGCAUUUCCAAUACAGAAAAAGAACUUUUUAGUGUAAGUUUGUCCCAUGCAAUAUUUGGGACAUACUUAUGCUAGAAAGUUAUUUAUUUAUCUGAAAUUCAAGCCAGCUGUUCCGUAUUUGUAUUUGUUAAAUCUGACCACCCUUGUUACCUUAUAUGGGAGCUCCUUAUUUUAAAUCACUGGGGGCUUCAGGAACCAGGUGCCUGGACUUGGUGGGUGUCCAUUCUCUGACUGUAUUCUGAAUUAGGCUCUAGAGGCUCCAGGGUUUGUGUCCAGUGCUGAAUUUCCACCUCCAGGCCCCAUUUACUGAAAUAAGAAAUUAGCUGGGUGUGGUGGCUCAUGCUUGUAAUCUUUGUACUUUGGGAGGUGGGAGGAUCCCUUGAGACCAGGAGUUCGAGACCAGGCCGGGCAAUAUAGUGAGAUUCCCAUCUCUACAAAAAAAUUUUUUUAAAUUAUCCAGGUGUGGUGGUUCACACUAGUAAUCUCAGCAAUUUGGGAGGGUGAAGUGGGAGGAUCGCUUGAACCCAGGAAUUGGAGGAUGCAAUGAGGUAUGAUCAUGCCACUGCACUCUAGCCUGGGUGACAGAGUGAGACCCUGACUUUUUUUUUUUUUUCUUAAGACGGAGCCUCGCCCUAUCGCCCAGGCUGGAGUGCAGUGGCUCAGUCUCAGCUCACUGCAACCUCUGCCUCCCAGGUUCAAGCAAUUCUCCUGCCUCAGCCUCCUGGUAGCUGGGAUUACAGGCAUGUACCACCACACCUGGCUAAUUUUUGCGUUUUUAGUAGAGAUGGAGUUUCACCAUGUUGACCAGGCUGGUCUCGAACUCCUGACCUCAAGUGAUCCACCCACUUCAGCCUCCCAAAGUGCUGGGAUUACACCGCUCCCGGCUUGAGACCCUGACUCUUAAAAAAAAAAGAAAAGAAACAAAAAGAAAAAGAAGCCAGGCACUGUGGCUCACACCUGUAAUCCCAGCACUUUGGAUGGCCGAGGCAGGAAGAUGCUUGUGUCCAGGAGUUCGAGAUCAGCCUAGGUAACAAAGUGAGACCUCAUCUCUACAAAAAAUAAAUCAAAACUAGCUGGGCAUGGUGGCAUGAGCCUGAGGUCCCAGCUACUUGGGAGGCUGAGGUGGGAGGAUGGCUCAAGCCUGGAAGGUCAAGGCUACAGUGAGCUGUGAUUGUACCACUGCAGUCUAGCCUGGGUGACAGAGUGAGACCUUGUCUCAAAAAAAAAAAAAAAGAAAGAAAGAAAGAAAUGAAAAGCCCAUAGAGUGGCCAGGCGCAGUGGCUCACACCUGUAGUCCCAGCACUUUGGGAGGCCGAGGUGGGUGGAUCACCUGAGGUCAGGAGUUCGAGACAGCCUGGCCAACAUAGUGGAACCCCAUCUCUACUAAAAAUACAAACAUUAGCUGGGCGUGGAGGCACGUGCCUGUAAUCCCAGCUACUCAGGAGGAUGGGCCAGGAGAAUCGCUUGAACUCGGGAGGUGGAGGUUGCAGUGAGCCAAGAUCAAGCCACUGUACUCCAGCCUGGGUGACAGAGCAAGACUCCGUCUUGGGAAAAAAAUAAAUAAAUAAAAAGAUCAGGCAGGGCACAGUGGCUCACGCCUGUAAUCCCAGCACUUUGGGAAGCUGAGGCGGGUGGAUCACUUGAGGUCAGGAGUACGAGAACAGCCUGGCCAACAUGCUGAAACCUCGUCUCUACUAAAAAAAUAAAUAAAUAAAUACAAAAAUUAGCUGGGCGUGGUGGCGCAUGCCUGUAGUACCAGCUACUCAUGAAGCUGAGGCAGGAGAAUCACUUGAACUCGGGAGAUGGAGGUUGCAGUGAGCCGAGAUUGCGCCACUGUACUCCAGCCUGGGCAACAGAGCGAGACUCUGUCUCAAAAAAAAAAAAAAAAAAAAAAGAUCAGACCUAUUCUCCUGAGCUGGACACUGAGAGGCAGACGGGUAAAUCAUUUUAUUGUUUGCUGAGGUCCCCCAACCAGGAAGUGGUAGUGCUGGAAUUUUAACCCAGAUAUAUUUGACGCCAAGGCUCAAACUCUUUCCACUGGGAUUAUUAACCCUUAUCAGUACAUCUGUGCCAUGUUUUCAGGUAAGAAAACUGAGUAGUGUGAUAAGCCGUCUGCCUGUGACACUUUAUUUUUUGUUUGUUUGAGACGGAGUUUCGCUCUUGUUGCCCAGGCUGGAGUGCAAUGACAUGAUCUUGGUUCACCGCAACCUCUGCCUCCCAGGUUCAAGCAAUUCUCCUGCCUCAGCCUCCCAAGUAGCUGGGAUUACAGGCAUGUGCCACCACGCCCUGCUAAUUUUGUAUCUGUAGAGAUGGGGUUUCUCCUUGUUGGUCAGGCUGGUCUCAAACUCCCAACCUCAGGUGAUCUGCCCACCUCGGCCUCCCAGAGUGCUGGGAUUACAGGCGUGAGCCACCAUGCCCGGCCUCCACUUUAGUUUUACAAGGGCCCAAAGCAGGAACAAACCUCCAGUCCUGUGGCCUACAGGAUGACAGCCUAAGCCCUCCUAUCCCCCACUUGACCUUCAAUGCCCAUAGGGAACCUGCCCCAGCCCAUUUCUCAUCUGCUGUUCUGGUCAUCUUCCCAAAAGACCAACCCUUUCCUUGCCUCCAUAUUUCUACACUUUGACACUUUGGGUCAAGUGGAAAAAGUCUGGUGGAAGAACUAGUUCUAAAUAUCAGCUUAGUCACUUACUUGCUGUGUGACUAUGGGCAAGCCACUUGACCUCUCUGAGUCUCACUUUGCUCAGCUGGAAAAUGAGAAAAGAUAUGCCUAAGUCUUAGCACUUGUCUGAUGAUUAAUAUGCAUAAGCUGAAGGAAUGAAGGGGGGGUAUUUAUUGUGCCCCUGCCGCGUGCCAGACCCGGUGAGAGACACUGGCGACGCUGUGGUGAACCCGGCAGUCACAGUGGCUGCUUUUCUGGGGACUGUUCUUGAAGUGGAGGGUGUGAUCUAUUGCAGCAGGAGGUUGAGUAACUGAGCCUUUGUAACUGUGAGCAGGAUUCCUCCUGAGCUGAAGAUGAGUGCCUUAAGCCAGGUGUGAGGGUGGGGAAAUACCCUAAUUUGACAGACGAGGAAAGGAAACUUCCCGCACUCCGCUUUAAGUGGUGGGGCCAGGAUUCAAACCCAGGGGCUGCUUUGAUGGGCCACCCUGGUUUCCUCUUGCAUCCGCACUGCUGAGCAGAGAGCCCGGCACCUAGCGGGAUAUCAAAGACACAGAGGCCGCCAGCAGUGAAAGCUGUGUUGAAAAGAAGCUAGAGGAAGCUGGUGAAAACCAGAGGUUAGGAGGUGGGGACAGGGAAGGCCGUGAAGGGAGGGGCCUUUUAUUGACCAGCCAGCCCUCGGCCAGGUCCCUGCCUCAGACGUGCAUGUUGGCAGGAAGAACCUGGCUGGGCAUCUCUGUGACUGUGGUUGAAUGAAGGAGCACCUGAGCCUUCCUUUUUUUCUUUUUUCUUUUUUUUUCUGAGAUGGAAUUGUGCUCUUGUUGCCCAGGCUGGAGUGCAAUGGCGCGAUCCCGGCUCACUGCAACCUCCCCCUCCCACGUUCAAGCAGUUCUCCUGCCUCAGCCUCCUGAGUAGCUGGGAUUACAGGCAUGUGCCACCACGCCCGGCUAAUUUUGUAUUUUUAGUAGAAACAGGGUUUCUCCAUGUUGGUCAGCCUGGUGUUGAACUCCCAACCUUAGGUGAUCCGCCUGCCUCGGCCUCCUAAAGUGCUGGGAUUACAGGCGUGAGCCACUACGCCUGGCGCACCUGAGUCUUUCUAGUCCAGGCUGAGCUCUGGGCCGUUCAGCGCUUCUCAAACCCACAGCAGUGCCUCAUUGCAAGAGGAGCUGGUGGGAUACAGGAGAAAGUGGGGAGGGAAAAGGCGGGUCAAGGAACUGAACUAGAGGCUCACUCGACAGUUCUCCAGGUCUUUGUUGUUUACUGAAGGAACCUUAUGAACGUGGCCUUCGCACUCCCUGCUCUGUCUGUGUUUGUUUUAAUAUAACCGAUUCCCUCCCCUCUUGCCAACAAAGGGUUGGAGUAAAACUGACUGCAUAGAGCCUGCCUAACUGUGCACUGUCCCUCGCUGUGGACUCUGCACCCCUAGCGCAGGAGGGUCCCAGGGCUCCAGGGGCGAGGCCCCACAGGCACCCCCUUCCCUCCACACAGCCGGUCUUUCCCUCCUCC